GAUGAACGCUGGCGGCGUGCCUAAUACAUGCAAGUCGAGCGAACAGAUGAGGAGCUUGCUCCUCUGACGUUAGCGGCGGACGGGUGAGUAACACGUGGAUAACCUACCUAUAAGACUGGGAUAACUUCGGGAAACCGGAGCUAAUACCGGAUAAUAUAUUGAACCGCAUGGUUCAAUAGUGAAAGACGGUUUUCCUUUACCUAUUAGUUGAUCCCGCGCCGCAUUAGCUAGUUGGUAAGGUAACGGCUUACCAAGGCAACGAUGCGUAGCCGACCUGAGAGGGUGAUCGGCCACACUGGAACUGAGACACGGUCCAGACUCCUACGGGAGGCAGCAGUAGGGAAUCUUCCGCAAUGGGCGAAAGCCUGACGGAGCAACGCCGCGUGAGUGAUGAAGGUCUUCGGAUCGUAAAACUCUGUUAUUAGGGAAGAACAAAUGUGUAAGUAACUAUGCACGUCUUGACGGUACCUAAUCAGAAAGCCACGGCUAACUACGUG
rnacentral:rRNA from 1 species